ACCCUCAUAGCUUAAUUGGUUAAAGCUGAACACUUUUAAUGUUAGGAGUGGGAGUUCGAGUCUCUCUGGGGGUAC
rnacentral:tRNA from 1 species